AAGAUAUAUGUUCAUAUCCUCAGGAUGAAUAUUAACUGGCUGAAGCAGACCUAAGACUCUAAAAGAGGAAGAGGUUUCUAUAACAAAAACGAGUAAAUGCUGAUAUACCUUCAAAAUCUUAAAGAUUCGAGCUUAAUCCACAGCGAAUGAAGUCUACUUUCUCAGUUUCUCUAGUACUCCUCAAGUUGUGGUCUGUAACAUGAAGCUAAGUCAACUGAAACCGCCAAAGCUACAUGAGAGCUAAUGAAGAAGUGUUGGAAUAAGAGAGAGAUAGAUAAACUAUUUGUCUUAAUUGUUCUUAUU